UAGACCAAUGGUGAGUGUGUCAUGAACCAGAGAUUAUGAUUAAUUCAACUCUGUACAUCUUGAGUAUAUU
rnacentral:snoRNA from 1 species